GACAGAGGGUGCAAACGUUGUUCGGAAUUACUGGGCGUAAAGCGCGUGUAGGUGGCCCUGCAAGUCGGAUGUGAAAUCCCACGGCUCAACCGUGGAAGUGCAUUCGAAACUGCAGGGCUAGAGUCCUGGAGAGGAAGGUGGAAUGCUUGGUGUAGAGGUGAAAUUCGUAGAUAUCAAGCGGAACACCGGUGGCGAAGGCGGCCUUCUGGACAGUGACUGACGCUGAGACGGCGAAAGCGUGGGGAGCAAAC
rnacentral:rRNA from 1 species